CGCGGGGUGGAGCAGCUCGGUAGCUCGCUGGGCUCAUAACCCAGAGGUCGCAGGUUCAAAUCCUGCCCCCGCUACC
rnacentral:tRNA from 1 species